rnacentral:rRNA from 1 species
UACGGGGGGGGGCAAGCGUUGUUCGGAAUUACUGGGCGUAAAGGCGCGUAGGCGGCCUGCUAAGUCGAACGUGAAAUCCCUGGGCUCAACCCAGGAACUGCGUCCGAUACUGGUUGGCUUGAAUCCGGGAGAGGGAUGCGGAAUUCCAGGUGUAGCGGUGAAAUGCGUAGAGAUCAGGAAGAACACCGGUGGCGAAAGCGUUCUGCUAGACCUGUACUGACACUGAGGGACGAAAGCUAGGGGAGCGAAUGGG